AGAGGAGACUCAGGAGCUUGGCUCCAGGCGCGGUGGUUCCUAGGAGGCAGGCAAUCGUGGACUGGGGAGAGCUCAGGAGGACCUGCAGUACUGAAGACUGAAAUAAAGGGACACUAGAAAAUAACAUAAAGUCACAUGAAGAAAUUUUUAAAAAUCUAAGGUAAUAACCAAAUAUAAUGAGGUCAAAUAUUUUGCUUAAA
rnacentral:lncRNA from 1 species